rnacentral:rRNA from 1 species
AGCGAACGCUGGCGGCAGGCCUAACACAUGCAAGUCGAACGAACCUUUCGGGGUUAGUGGCGGACGGGUGAGUAACACGUGGGAACGUGCCUUUAGGUUCGGAAUAACUCAGGGAAACUUGUGCUAAUACCGAAUGUGACCUACGGGGGAAAGAUUUAUCGCCUUUAGAGCGGCCCGCGUCUGAUUAGCUAGUUGGUUGAGGUAAUGGCUCACCAAGGCGACGAUCAGUAGCUGGUCUGAGAGGAUGAUCAGCCACAUUGGGACUGAGACACGGCCCAAACUCCUACGGGAGGCAGCAGUGGGGAAUCUUGCGCAAUGGGCGAAAGCCUGACGCAGCCAUGCCGCGUGAAUGAUGAAGGUCUUAGGAUUGUAAAAUUCUUUCACCGGUGACGAUAAUGACGGUACCCGGAGAAGAAGCCCCGGCUAACUUCGUG